AAUUCUCAAAAGCCUAAUCGUUUUUCAACGACUUGGGAUCUUUUGGAUGUGAGGGUUUCUGCUGGCUUCAAUCGAAUCCAGCUCCCUUUAAAUUCAUUAGUGGUUGCUUUUAUUUCACUAGAGUGUGAUAGUAUAUCUACGCUCAGACGGUGAUAAUAAGCUUUGUAUCCGCUUUCGAACCGUCUCUACCGAAGGGACAGCUUUUUGACC
rnacentral:misc_RNA from 1 species